rnacentral:rRNA from 1 species
GAUGAACGCUGGCGGCGUGCCUAAUACAUGCAAGUCGAGCGAACGGACGAGAAGCUUGCUUCUCUGAUGUUAGCGGCGGACGGGUGAGUAACACGUGGAUAACCUACCUAUAAGACUGGGAUAACUUCGGGAAACCGGAGCUAAUACCGGAUAAUAUCUUGAACCGCAGGGUUCAAAAGUGAAAGACGGUCUUGCUGGCACUUAUAGCUGGAUCCGCGCUGCAUUAGCUAGUUGGUAAGGUAACGGCCUACCAAGGCAACGAUGCCUAGCCGACCGGUGAGGGUGAUCGGCCACACGGGAACUGAGACACGCUCCAGACUCCUACGGGAGGCACCAGUAGGGAAUCGUCGGCAAUGGGCGGAAGCCUUACGCAGCGACGCCGCGUGAGUGAUGAAAGUCUUCGGAUCGUAAAACUCUGUUAUUGGUGAAGAACAUAUUUGGAAGUAACUGUGCACAUCUUGACGGUACCUAAUCAAAAAGCCCCGGCUAACUACGUG